GGGCUCGUCCUAGUAUCGGCGAGUGAAGCGGCAAGAGCUCAAAUUUGAAAGCUGGCCCCUUCGGGGUCCGCGUUGUAAUUUGCAGAGGAUGCUUCGGGUGCGGCCCCUGUCUAAGUGCUCUGGAACGGGCCGUCACAGAGGGUGAGAAUCCCGUCUUGGGCAGGGUGCCCGUGCCCGUGUGAAGCUCCUUCCACGAGUCGAGUUGUUUGGGAAUGCAGCUCUAAAUGGGUGGUAAAUUUCAUCUAAAGCUAAAUACCGGCCGGAGACCGAUAGCGCACAAGUAGAGUGAUCGAAAGAUGAAAAGCACUUUGAAAAGAGAGUUAAACAGCACGUGAAAUUGUUGAAAGGGAAGCGCUUGCGACCAGACUCGGCCCCGGGGUUCACCCAGCAUUCGUGCUGGUGUACUUCCCCGGGGGCGGGCCAGCGUCGGUUUGGGCGGCCGGUCAAAGGCCCCAGGAAUGUAUCGCCCUCCGGGGUUGUCUUAUAGCCUGGGGUGCAAUGCGGCCAGCCCGGACCGAGGAACGCGCUUCGGCACGGACGCUGGCGUAAUGGUCGCAAACGACCCGUCUUGAAACACGGACCAAGGAGUCUAACAUCUACGCGAGUGUUCGGGUGUCAAACCCGUACGCGCAGUGAAAGCGAACGGAGGUGGGAGCCCCCCCGGGGCGCACCAUCGACCGAUCCUGAUGUCUUCGGAUGGAUUUGAGUAAGAGCGUAGCUGUGGGGACCCGAAAGAUGGUGAACUAUGCCUGAAUAGGGCGAACCAGAGGAAACUCUGGUGGAGCUCGCAGCGGUUCUGACGUGCAAUCGAUCGUCAAUUUGGGUAUAGGGGCGAAAGACUAAUCGAACCAUCUGGUAGCUGGUUCCUGCCGAAGUUUCCCUCAGGAUAGCAGUAACGCGGAUCAGUUUUAUGAGGUAAAGCGAAUGAUUAGAGGCAUUGGGGUUGAAACAACCUUAACCUAUUCUCAAACUUUAAAUAUGUAAGAAGCCCUUGUUGCUUAGUUGA
rnacentral:rRNA from 1 species